CAGUCAUGUCCAACUCUUUGUGACCCCAUGGACUACUACGGUCCAUGGGAUUCUCCAGGCCAGAAUACUGGAGUGGGUAGCUGUUCCCUUCUCCAGGGCAUCUUCCCAACCCAGGGAUCAAACCCAGGCCUCCCACAUUGCA